GCCUCCUUAGCUUAAUGGUAUAGCCUAUUACUUCUAAUGAUAAGAUUUUCUGGUUCGAAUCCAGAAGGAGGUU